UUCCAGCGCGCAAUGUGACUCGGGGCAGCUCGCGCCAACGCUCUGCUGCGCAUGCCCUUUUUAUUUUUAUUUUAUUUUUAUUUUUUUGGUAUUGUAGCGGAGCAGCCGCAGACCCAGCCCGGCAGGAGUGACUUGAGAAACUGCAAGUCGCUUCUGGUGUGAGAGAAUUGGCCGUCUACAAGGACAUUGCCCAAGGACGUUGGGCAAGGGUGUUACAGUCUAAAAACCUUCAGCAUUUCCAUUUCUGCAGCUCAGAUAGUUCUGUCAUAGUUUAAAAGGGUUAAUGUGAAGCUGAAAAAAAGUAAUGUGUAAUACACACAUACUACAGAAUGAACUUACCUUUCAAAUGGUAGUCUAGUGUCAAAGAGAAGUCUGGGGACCAGACAAUAAAGAGUCUUAUGAUUUCUUAAAGGGAAAUAGUAUUCCAGGAUAAGUUUUCAUGGGCCCCUUCCACACAGCUGUAUAAAAUCCACAUUGAAUUGGAUUAUGUUGCAGUCUGGACUCAGGGCUCUUCCAGACAGGCCCUAUAAACAGGAUCUGAGCCCAGGUUUUCUGUUUAUCCCAGAUUAUCUGGCAGUGCGGACUCAUAUAAUCCAGUUUAAAGCAGAAAACCUGGGAUCAGAUCCUGGGAUAUAGGGCCUGUCUGGAAGGCCCCUCAGAUAAUGCAGUUCAAAGCAGAUAUUGUUGAUUAUUUGCCUUGAUAGUCUGGGUUAUAUGGCUGUGUGGAAGGGCCCAUGGAUACCAUCUCAUCAGAUGCCUCUGCUGCUUUAUAUACAAAUUUGUAUGCAAAUAUCAUUACACACACGUUGUCACAUAUUCAUGGACAAGAAGGGGAAUGUGCAUUAAGAUGUUGGAAGGAAUGUUUGCAAAUGCAGUGAUCAAUAGAACAAAUCCUGCCAAAGUAAUAUUUAGGGGGGGGGGGGCGUUCAGGGGGGGGUUAGGUGAUGGUGAGAAAGCUGUUGAUGUCAUUUAUCUAGAUUUCAUCCAUGCAUUUGAUAAGGUUCCCCAUAGUAUUUUUAUUAACAAACUGAGUAAUUAUGGAAUAGGUGGAACUACUGUCAGAUGGAUUCAUAAUUGGUUGGAAAACUGUUCUCAAAAAAUCACCAUCCGUGGCUGCACUUCAAACUGGAAGGAGAUCUGGGUUCUGUCCCAGGGCCAUGACUCUUCCACUUUUUUUUUAACUAGAUCAGUGGUUCCCAGCCUUUGAUCCUCCAGGUAUUUAGGUCUUCAGCUCCACAACUCCAAACAUCUGGUAAACUGACUGGAAUUUCUGGGAGCUAAAGUCCAAAACACCUGGAGAACCAAAGGUUGGGAACGGCUAACUUAGAUGAUGUAGUGUGGGGACCUGUAUCAAAUUUGCAGAUGAUACAAAAAUGGAAGGGAUUGAUUACACAUUGGAAGAUAGGAACAGAAUUCAAAAGACCCUAACUGAAAAUUGAGCAGAAAUUAAUAAAAUGAAAUUAAGUAGAGACAAAUGUAAAAUCCUACAUUUAGGCCAAAAAACACAAAUACACAGUUACUGAAUGAGGGAAAGAAAGGGGUAAAAGAAAGGCUAUAUGAGCUAGGCAUGUUCAGCUCAGUGAAGAGAAGACAGAGGGAAAACAUGGUUGUACUCUUGAAACAUUUCAAGGACUGUCACAAGACAAGGUAGGAGCAAGUCUAAUGGUUUUUAAAUUUACAAGAGAAUAGAGUUGGGCCCGAAUCCCGUUUUGUGAUUUUGUACCAUUCUGUCCAUUUGGAUGGCACAGAACGGUACAACCCGGAACAAAAGAAGCAGCAAAACGGAAAAAGGGAGGAAUGGUAGCCAUUUGGUCAGCUGAUUUUCGGCACUUGGCUGUAAGCCUUGGCUGGCAGGGCCUACAGCCAAGUGCCGGGCGCUCAAUUCUCAUAGGCCCGGCAUGAAAGGAUGACAGCCAAGUGCCGGGUGCUCAAUGCUCGUAAGCCCAGCUCACAGGGCCUGCCUGCCGGGCCUACGAGCAUCAAACACUUGGCGCUUGGCUGUAGACUCUGAGCCGGGCAUACAAGUGUCGAGUGCUUGGCUGUAGGCCUGCCCACUGAGUGGUCCAGCAGGCAGAGCCUACAGCCGAGCACUCAGCUCUCAUAGGCCCAAUUCGCAGGGCCUAAAGCCAAGCACUGGGUUCAGAUCUUGAGAGGAAAAGCUCAUUUAUAUAAGUGCCCGUUUCUGUAAGUGGUGGACAGAAAUGGGGCCAUGCGAACAGUAUAAAUAGAGUUGCCGAAGGCUUUCAUGGCCGGAAUCACAGGGUUGUGUGUUUUCUGGGCUGUAUCAACCCAGUAUAAAUAGAAAUGAGUAGUGAUUCCAAAUGCAUGAGACUACAGGAAAGUAGAUUUUGAUUGAACCUUAGAAGAAAACUUUGCUGUAGGAGCAGUCUGGCAAUGGAACCAAUUGUCUACAGUGGUGGUGGGAUCUCCUUUCCUGAAUGUUAUUUAUCAAAAAGGCUUGGCAGCUCCCUCCUGGGGAUCUUUCAUUGAGCAGGAGUUGAAUUUGUUGGUCCCUUCCAACUCUGGUUCUAAUGACUUGAAUCUCUUGAUGUAUUGCUGUACAGUGAUUUCAUAUUGCAAUCUGUUUUUGAAGGUCAUUUGUUCAAGGAUUGAGAUAAUCAUUUGGAAGACUGAAGUUUCUCAUCCAUUGUCUUUCACAACUGUUGCUAGGGAAAGAUAGUUCCCAGCUCUCUAUUUGAAAAAUGCAAUCAUGCCUAUUUUGUAAGGUUGUAAUGAAGAAUAGAAGAUAAGGAAAAAUUACUACAUGCAUGCCCAGAAUUAAAUGGCCUACUAAUAGUCCAAUCUUCAGAACAUAAUGAUCCACACUUAUAUUAGGUUUUAUUUGAUUUUGCUGAGUUGUCACCUGUUUGGCAGAUACUUCUUUUAAGGUAAUAGAAGCACUCUCUGAACCAAUCUGUUUUUUGAAAUGGAAAUAGAAGAAAAAUGCACAUGAUUCUGCCCCCCAAAAGGGGGUUGGAAUCCUGUGCUGCGACAAUGAAGGAAUUCAUUCUCAAUGUAAAAGCACUGAACUAUAAGAACUCACUGAACAUAUUUUCUGAAAAUUGAGAAAGCCAUUACCCAGGCAACCACAGCCAGUUAAAAAACUCAACUGCAGCUACUUAAAAAAAAACCUUUCCAAAAAUAAAGUGAAUGAAAUGAGAUUAAACAGAUGGCUAUUUUAAGUGGUGUGAAUAUUCUAAUGAUUUUAUGUGUAACAGUCUUGAGAGCAUAAUGAACGUCACAUGAGAACGUAACAGGAAAGUCAUAAUAGGGCCACCUUCUGUUUAAAUCUACAGGGCCUCUUCCAGCUUCUGAAAAGAAAUAUUAUGAAAAUGAAUUAAAGAAAAGUAUUAAAUAGGUCAGACUAUCCCAUAAGAUCAAGACAUUUUACAUUUAUUGUGCUGUCCCUUCAAUUUCCCUGCAAGCAAGAAAAAGGCAGCAGCGAGAGGAGCCGAUUGAAACAUAUAUAUCCACACAAGAAGAUAAGUCACAGUAGGAGGGAUGCAAUACUGUACUUCUGCUGGAACUUGUUGCUUCCCACACACACAGCAAUUCACUCUACCUUCUAUAGCCCACCCACUCCCCUGGAACAUAAAAUCUUUUCCAGGGCUGCAGGAAAGUCCCAAUUCUUUUGCCAUUAGGUAUGGAAAUACACCAUUGGAUCUUGGCCAAUGUUGGGAAGAACAGGUAAAGGGGUAUGUGAUUGCAAUGGGAGAACCAUAGAGAUGUGUGUAUCAGUGGACAUGGUGAUGCAAUAUUAAAUACAGCUUAGUAUAGGUUGAGCAUUCCUUACCUGGAAUUCCAAAAUUAUCCACAUAAAGAGAUAGUGAUACCUUUCUGAUGGUUUGUUUCAUACAUAUUUUUGUUUCAAACAUAUUUUUGUAUGGUAUGGUUUGUUUCAUACAUAUUUUUUUUAACUGUAUAAAAUUACUUUCAGGCUGUGUAUAUAAGGUGUAUAUGAAACAAAUUAAUUUCGUGUUUAGACUUGGAUCCCAUUUCCAUGACAUCUCCUUAUGUACACAUUUACAAAUGCAAAUGUUUCAAAAAAAUUUUUUUUUAAUCCAAACUCCAAAACACUUCUGAUCCCAAACUUUUGGCUAAAGAAUACUCAACCUGUUUCUACUGUUUUUGUGUGCUAGAGAAACAGAUAGUGCUGCACAUUAGUCAAGCCCUCCUCCCCUAUUCCAAGGCUACCUACACUUGCAGUUCAGCUACACAACUACCUAGUCAGUGUUACAGAAUGAAACCUCUCUUGUUCUAUUAAUGACAUGAAAGCCUUUUACUGUAUUUGCAGUCACGGAAUGCUUCCCACUCUUGGCUUUAGAAUUCAUUUCCAUUGAGUUCAAUGGGUCCCAUUCCACUAUGGUUUGCUAUAUGACCCUGUCUCACUUGAAAGACAAUUGUGCUUUGGCAUGCUGCCCUGGAAGCAGCUGUUAUAUCAAGAUUCAUAGGCUUCAUUUGGGCCUCUGAUUCUGUGCAUAUUGCUAUUUUUUAAAGGAACAAGGAAAACUCUUACAUAAGCUGCUAAAAAUAAUCAAAAGACAAUAAAAAGUUCUUGCUAAAAUUAAUUUCAGUUUGAAUGAUGAAUCAUAAAAUGUUGCAUGCAUAAAUCCUUCACCCAAAACCUUGUAUAGGUUUAUAUGUAGGAGGGAUAGAAAUGGAUUCACAUGGGAGUUUUCAACAUUUUCCAUGUUUAGAGAUAAUAGCAUGUGUCAUAAUCUAGAAAGGAAAGAAGUUUCAAGUGGUUUUUCUCCCUUUGAUCUUCUCUGCAUGUUCAUUUGAUGCUUCAGUAUUAUGGUUCUCAUGUGACAAUAAGAAAACAAAACAAACCUUUUUGGGUUUUACCAUUGUAAACAGCUUUGGAAACUUUUGAAAAUGAAAAAGCCGCAUAAAUUGUUUUAUAUAAUAACAAUGCACUGGUGCAUAGCUACAGCCCUGAUCAUUUAAAUGCAAGCAGCCUUUGUCACUUUGAAUCUGAAGGUAAUCUUUGUUUUUGUCAUUCCAAGCUAAAUUUUAAACUGGUUUUAUCAGUAAUCAGUUAACAGAUGUUUAACACCCUCUAAGUCAGCUUCUUGGAUAUAUGCCUCUGUAUAUCAGAGUAAAAUCUCCUAAAAUAGAAACAGACAGUGGAAAAUAUAUCCCCAGUGCUCUUAUGGAACAAGUAGAGGUUAAAUCCUCUUGGUAGAGAGCAUGCUUAUUAGACAAUAAUCAUUCAUUUAAUAAAUGAGUAACAUAGACGGUGGUUUUUUGGCCAUUUACCUAUGGUCCACGUACCCUUUAUUCUGUAGUAGACUAAUAAAUGUACAGUAUAAACUGCAUACUGUGUAGAUUAAAACUGCUUAAACAUCACCUGUCAUUACCUCUCCCCACCAAAAAAAUGUUAAAUGUUGAUUUCCCAAUAAACUGUUAAUAAUGUGCCAAAUUUCUAUUUAUUUUUCAUCAGUUUAUAAAUUUUCUACUUACAUUACCUUUCUGUUAUAUUCUUUAAGUAAUUUCAACUUAUGGCGACUCUAAGGAACUCCUAUCACAGAAUUUUCUUGGCAACAUUUGUUGAGAGGAAGUUGCCUUUACCUUCCCCUGGGUCUCCGGGAGUGUGUUUCGUCCAAAGUCAUCCACUGGGUUUCUUUGGACAGAAAGAACUUGCAUUCUGAUCCCCACAAAUAUAGUCCACUGCUCAAACUACUAUGUCACACUGGCCUUCUUUUCUGUUAGCAUUUUAUUAAUUUACAAAAAUACAUUGAAAUAGGUAAAUGGCCAAAAAACCCAAAAUGACCACAAAAACAACAUUACAUAAAUAAUGGGUAAAUCUUACUCAUACUUUUAAAAAAACAAUUAUGUUUAUCAAUCAUAUCAUUUCACAAUAUAUUGCCAUUCCCUACCACCACCCACAAAUGUGCUAGGUAUGUCAUUAUUGUCGACACAUUACUUCUGAAAUCUGAUAAAAUCUGAAAUGUAUUUUAUUUAGCUCUACUGUUUUAAUAGAUCCAUUUAGCAUCCAACAAUUCUUUCUCAGGCAGAGAAUUAUCAACAGCAAGACUAGCUAAAGGGUUGACGUCUGAUAUCACAAUGCGGUUUAUGAGAAACAGACCGGGAGUCCCACUGUGUUUUGCCUUGAGAUAAAUCAUGUUUCAGAUGAUCUCAGAUUUCCUGCCUUCUUUUUAAAGGCUGAGUUCUGGAAUUAGAAUUACAUGGUGAUCAAUUGGAAGCUGGAGAAGGAAAGCUAUGCUGCUGAUCAUCAUUGAUGCCACACAUGCAUUAGCCCAGAAGCAUAAAGACGCUUGUGGAACUCCCCAUGCCCCCAGUUUAGACAGUCUACUGAAAUACAAUGGCUCCCUUGGGUGGGGAAAUAAUUAUAUAUUCCCUGGCAACAUGACACAGCAGUUUAAACGUUGGGAACAAGCAAUAUCCUUGAACCAGAAAUAUUUCCUCAGGAGAGCUUGCAGAUUAAUUUUCUUUGCUUUCUUCACAAGGGCCUGGAUGCAGCUCUUUCCCUUGAUCAUGAUCCUAACUGGGUUUAUUUUCCACAUCAGUGUAUGCAAGGAUCACAUUUUUUCAACCAAGAAUAUCUCAGGCCAUGAAAAUUCAGAGCCCAAACCUGUGAUCUAGAGAUGGCACACUUUGGGAUGUCACAAGAAUCAUGCCCUGGUAAUGUUACAAGGAGCACACACACAGAGAGAGAAAUGUGAGUUUAAAAUCGUCUGAGGAGCCCUGCUCUCAGUCCCACCUCCUUUCACAGGCAUGAUUGGCAGGGACGAGAGACAGGGCCUUCUCAGUGGUGGCCCCUUGGCUAUGGAAUUCCCUCCCCAGAUAUAUUAGACCAGUCCCCUCCCUCCUGACCUUCUGUAUGAGAGUAAAAAUGUGGCUUUGUGACCAAGCCUUUGGACAACCGUGCAAUAGAUACAUAUGGAAUAACAUGCAAUGACUAUAGGAACGGCCUGGAUUACGCUUGUGGAUUAGGUAAUCAAUUGUAAUUGUAUUGUUUUAAAUGUUUCUAAUUGUUUUAAUGUAUUUUAUUCUAUUUAAAUGUUCAUUUUAAUUGUACAUUGUUUUUAUCGUAUCUAAUAGUUGCCUAUGUGUAAAGCUGCCUUGAGUCCCCUUUGGGGUAGAGAAGGAAGGCGGGGUAGAAAUGUCGUACAUAAAUAAAUUAGGCAUGAUGCAUUAAGAUUCAGUCACAGUAGUAAAAAAUAUGCUAUUUUUUUAAAAAAAAAACCCAAUUCUAAUAAAUAAAUACACACAUACAUACUUUUCAGGGCAGUCCUCUCACUCUGAGAUUCAUAUCCCUUGCUCUAAGGAGCAUAAAACAUGUUGCCAGAGUGAAAACUGAAGAGUAAUCCUGUACAUUAAAUUGUUGAAUAAUAAGCAACAGGUUGAAUAACAAGCAACAGUUGCUGAAAUUCCCUAACCUGCAUAGCCAUUAAACAUAAAAGAAGUGCCUCCAGUUAUUAAGGUGAGACCCUGAAAUCUGGGAAGCUUAGAUGAAAAGGAUAUUGGGAGGGUGGUCACAUCACUUCCAUAGUUAGUGAAUCUCCAUUUGUGGCCCCUGACUAUGCAGGAGAAACAUACAGCCCUGAGCCAAAAAUUUGACAAGACCUAUUCCAAAUUAAUGUGCAUAACACUGUAGUCAUGUAAUUCAGCCCUAGGGCUACUUAUUUGAAAACAGGACCUUCUAUAUAAUUAGAUUCAUUCCUACUUCUUGUAUGCAUUAUAGGGUCAGUGUACAGUAGACUCAUAUAAUACAGUUCAAUGCAGUUAAACUGUAUUGUUUGAGUCUACACUGAUCAAAGUGUAGUUUCAAACUGUAUUAUAUGGCAGUGUAGAUUGUCUUAUUGUUUUAUUUUACUGUAUAUGCAGUGAUGAGUAGAGUGUUACUCGUUCAUAUAGAUCUUGAAAAAAAAAAUUGGAACUGAACCCCCCAUUUCUCUACCCAGUGGAUGCUAAGAGUCCUCACCCCCUGCUCCCAUGACCCUUCUUAUAUAUCAGCAGGCAAAAGGUGUUGUGGACACUGCGGAACAGUUAGGAAAACCACCCAGUGAAACAUCAGUCCCUUUGAUUGACUGUUUAAAGGCCUCCCAAGGGGGUCAAAUAUUAUCUUUGGAUCACACUAAGAAAACCAUCUAGAAGUUGCAAGUUUUUUCUCAUGGCAUACAGUCUCUGAGCAACCAAAGUGUUAUCUUUUCUCAUUCAUCUGUUAACCAACCAGACAAAAUUACUAUGAAGCAAAGUUAAACCCAUAACAAAAGGAGAAGUAUUAUGCUCAGAUUUUAAUCACUGUGGAGAACAAUUCAGGCUAUUUCCCCUGUUCCUUAUUUGUGUGUAUUUCUUUGUUUAAAUAACUUUGGAAAAUGAAAAAAGUCACAACUCCAUAAAGCAAAAGCUAUUAUAAUUCUCGUGUGUAUGUUGAGAUUUAAAAUUUUUAAUAUCAUUUUUAUCUUUAAACAUAAAGUGUCUAUAGCAACACAUGCUCCUUUGUAGUUUGUGGACAUUUGGUGAUCAUGUUAAUAUCUUGGAGGACAAACUAUAUCGUUCAGUGAUGGAAGUCAUACUUCAAAUUCAAAUGGUCCCAAAUUUAAUUCAUAGCAUUAACAAUGAAAAGAAACCAGGGAUUACUUAUUUGGGGUUCUAGCUUCCAGAAUUCCUGUGCGUUCCAGUGGCAAUGCUGGCCAUAAGAAUUAGGAAGUUUGCAGGGUCUAACAGUAACAAGUAUUAUGAAGGAGUCAACAGAUCAGCACCCAGUGAGAAUACAUCAUCACACUUUGCUACCUGGACCAACAAUCUGACUUGAAGAAUUAUGCAAUUUUAAGGGAUGGUCAUAAUGGUUUACUAAUCUUAUUUAUUUAUUAAAUAUACUGGUAUAUCUCUCAAGCAAUCCAAACACAAUAAAACCACAAUUACAAUACAAUAAAACAAUCAGCAUGAAUCACCAACUAAAUGUAGCACCAGAUUAAUUAUUUUAUAUAAUUAAUCUAAUUAUUAAAAUAUAUCUUUAAUUGCCAA